AACCAGUGCAUAGGACAUUUCCUCAUAAUUCUUUGAAUUUCUCCCAAGCCUCAUACAAACUUUCAUCCUCUAUUUGGUUGAAUGAAGUCAGAUCAUUUCACAACUUAGCAU